rnacentral:rRNA from 1 species
AGACCCUUCUUGGUCAUUUAGAGGAAGUAAAAGUCGUAACAAGGUUUCCUUGGUGAACCAGCGGAAGGAUCAUUACAGAGAUCAUGCCCUUCGGGGUAACCUCCCACCCUGUGUUAUAUACGUUUGUUGCUUUGGCGGGCCGCCCCUGGGGCUCCCGGCUUCGGCCGGGGCGUGUCCGCCAGAGAACCCCCAAUUCGUGUUUAGUGUUGUCUGAGCAUUACAAAAUAAGUUAAAACUUUCAACAAGGAUCUCUUGGUUCUGGCAUCGAUGAAGAACGCAGCGAAAUGCGAUAAGAAUGUGAAUUGCAGAAUUCAGUGAAUCAUCGAAUCUUUGAACGCACAUUCGCCCCUGGGUAUUCCUGGGGGCAUGCCUGUUCGAGCGUCAUUUCAACCUCAAGCUCAGCUUGGUCUUGGGCCAUGCCGGCAACGGCCGGCCUUAAAAUAGUGGCGGCGCCGCCGGGCUCUACGCGUAGUACUUACUUUCUCGCGUUGGGUUCCGGUGAACGCUGGCCAGCAACCCCAAAUUUUUUCUGGUUGACCCGGAUCAGGUAGGAAUACCCGCUGAACUUAAGCAUAUCAAUAAGCGGAGA